UCUAUUCAUUUUACAAUAUGGGUCCAAAACAUUUGCUCUUCCGACUUCCUUCUCUUCUAUUCCAAUCGAUCGGAGGAGUAAUUCAAUUCUCCUUCAAGAGUUCAACAAUACUUGUAGCUCUUUUCAUCUUCUUAUCUAUUUGUUAGAUUUCAGACGAUGCAGAAUCACCAUUUUAAGGGUUAUUCUUUGUCCAAUUCAUUGAUGUUGCCUUCUUCUCGCUGAUUUGCCUUCUUAAGCUGCAGGUGUUGGUUCAAUCUUCUUCAGCUUUUUCAGAUCAAGAAGGGACAUGCAGAGCCUGUGACUUCAAUUAUGUCUUGAGUAGUCCACAUCUUUUCUCUACUUCUGCACUUUGGAUUUACUUUUUUUUUCUUUUAUUCUUGAUUGAGACUUCUUUUUUGUUAUCUCGGACCCUUGUCGACCCGCAUUCUUAAGGCGAGCUUCUGCUACUUCUAACAUGAAUCGGAUUCUGAAAUGUUUUUCCUUGU